rnacentral:misc_RNA from 1 species
GAUGAAGAACGCAGCGAAAUGCGAAAAGUAAUGUGAAUUGCAGAAUUCAGUGAACCAUCGAAUCUUUGAACGCACAUUGCGCCCGCUGGAACUCCGGCGGGCACGCCUGUCCGAGCGUCAUUUCAACCCUCAGGCCCCCCUUCGCGGGCGGGCCUGGUGUUGGGGCCCGGUCGCUACCCUGCGGCCGUCCCCUAAAUUCAGUGGCGGCCUCGCCGUGAUCCCUUGCGUAGUAAUGCACCUCGCACCGGAGAGCGCCGUGGCCACGCCGUAAAACCCCCAAUUUUCAAUGGUUGACCUCGGAUCAGGUGGGAAUACCCGCUGAACUUAAGCAUAUCAAUAAGCGGAGGA